rnacentral:rRNA from 1 species
GACGAACGCUGGCGGCGUGCUUAACACAUGCAAGUCGAACGGAAAGGCCCUGCUUUUGUGGGGUGCUCGAGUGGCGAACGGGUGAGUAACACGUGAGUAACCUGCCCUUGACUUUGGGAUAACUUCAGGAAACUGGGGCUAAUACCGGAUAGGAACUCCUGCUGCAUGGUGGGGGUUGGAAAGUUUCGGCGGUUGGGGAUGGACUCGCGGCUUAUCAGCUUGUUGGGGGGGUAGUGGCCUACCAAGGCUUUGACGGGUAGCCGGCCAGAGAGGGUGACCGGCCACACUGGGACUGAGAGACGGCCGCGGCGCCGACGGGAGGCAGCAGGGGGGAAGAUUGAACAAGGGGCGGAAGCCUGAUGCAGCAAGGCCGCGGGCGGGAUGACGGCCUUCGGGUUGAAAACCGCUUUCGCCUGUGACGAAGCGUGAGUGACGGUAAUGGGAAAAGAAGCACCGGCUAACUACGGUC